rnacentral:rRNA from 1 species
ACAACUCUAGAGAUAGAGCUUUCCCCUUCGGGGGACAAAGUGACAGGUGGUGCAUGGUUGUCGUCAGCUCGUGUCGUGAGAUGUUGGGUUAAGUCCCGCAACGAGCGCAACCCUUAAGCUUAGUUGCCAUCAUUAAGUUGGGCACUCUAAGUUGACUGCCGGUGACAAACCGGAGGAAGGUGGGGAUGACGUCAAAUCAUCAUGCCCCUUAUGAUUUGGGCUACACACGUGCUACAAUGGACAAUACAAAGGGCAGCGAAACCGUGAGGUCAAGCAAAUCCCAU